rnacentral:snRNA from 1 species
GUGCUUGCUUCGGCAGCACAUAUACUAAAAUCAGAAUGAUACAGAGAAGAUUAGCAUGGCCCCUGUGCAAAGAUGACAAGCAAAUUCGUGAAGUGUUCCAUUUUUUU